rnacentral:rRNA from 1 species
UACGAAGGGUGCGAGCGUUGUCCGGAAUCAUUGGGCGUAAAGCGCGUGUAGGCGGUCCGGUAAGUCGGCUGUGAAAGUCCAGGGCUCAACCCUGGGAUGCCGGUCGAUACUGCCGGACUAGAGUUCGGAAGAGGCGAGUGGAAUUCCCGGUGUAGCGGUGAAAUGCGCAGAUAUCGGGAGGAACACCUAUGGCGAAGGCAGCUCGCUGGGACGUUACUGACGCUGAGACGCGAAAGCGUGGGGAGCAAACAGG